AACUCUGUAGUGAGCCUAAAAUAAAAACCGUAACGGAAAAUACUUUAAUAAUAAUAAGUAAUAAACAAUAAAUGUACCACUGAAAAACCAAAGGAACGGCCCAGGCUUCAUCUGAGAAGUGAAAGUGAAAGUUAAAGUGAGGCGUGGUGAAACAGGAAAUGAGGAUAAACACCUUGUUGUCUCCACGAUGGAAAUCUACUGAGAGACAAAGAGUUUCUGACGCUGAAGUCUCCAGUUUUCUGUUGAACAGGUUCUUUUACAGCUUUCUGACCCUGAUACAUCAACUCCAAUGAAAGAAAAACCCUUUUCAGAUCCAGCUUUGUUUAGCAAUGGAGUUUACACUGGAAUUAAUAUUGCAAUGUUUAUUCUCUGAUGUUUUAUUAUCAACAAAAAGUUUCUUUCUUCCAUUCUUUGUUAUUUUCUCUCCUUUCUGACUGCCAUUUCACCAUAUCUAUUAUAAAAAGUUUUAAAUGCUUUAGUGUUUCAUUUUUGUUGUUUCCACAGCUUGCAUUUGAAAUAAAUCACUCACAUCCACAGUCCAUGUUCAAAGUUGCUAACAUGUAUAUCAGAUAUUGAAUGGUUGAAAACCGGAAUUUCAGCUUCACAAGUCUUUACAAAUAUAUAUAUUUUUUUUAAAUAUGCAUUUUUAUAAAUAUAGUCUUUUUGUAACUCUUGUGGAAUACAAACACUGUAAGUCAUUCUCAUUUAAGCAUUACUUUUGCCAAACUGGAUAUGAAUGUCAAAUAUUAUAUUAAUAAGUAUUGUAACUGUUUUCAACAGGACAAAUAUUCGUCCUUGAAAAGCAAAGCUGAAUCAUGGUGCCUUUCACGCAGACCAACCUGUGUAAAAAAUCUGUUUAUGUAUAUAAUAUAAAUACAAAAUAAAUACAGCAAAUCUG